CAAUAGCGUAUAUUAAAGUUGUUGCAGUUAAAAAGCUCGUAGUUGGAUUUCUGGCCGAGUGUCCCCAGGCCAGCAUGACGUUUGGUCCUGGGCGCUCUGCCAUCCUUCUGUCAACCUUCGCCUCGUUCAUUCGUGGCGCUGGGGCUCAGAUAUUUUACCUUGAGAAAAUUAGAGUGUUUCAGGCAGGCUAGGCCGGAAUACAUUAGCAUGGAAUAAUAGAAUAGGACUAUGGUCUCUUUGUUGGUUUGAGGGACUAUGGUAAUGAUUAAUAGGGAUAGUUGGGGGCAUUAGUAUUUAAUUGUCAGAGGUGAAAUUCUUGGAUUUAUGAAAGACUAACUACUGCGAAAGCAUUUGCCAAGGAUGUUUUCAUUAAUCAAGAACGAAAGUUAGGGGAUCGAAGACGAUCAGAUACCA
rnacentral:rRNA from 1 species